ACUAUUUUGGCAGAUUAGUGCAGUAAAUUUAGAAUUUAUUAAUGUAGAUUUUUCUACAAAUAGUA
rnacentral:tRNA from 4 species